rnacentral:rRNA from 1 species
AUUGAACGCUGGCGGCAGGCCUAACACAUGCAAGUCGAACGAGAGGCGGACGGGUGAGUAAUGUCUGGGAAACUGCCUGAUGGAGGGGGAUAACUACUGGAAACGGUAGCUAAUACCGCAUACCAUCAGAUGUGCCCAGAUGGGAUGAGCUAGUAUGUGGGGUAAUGGCUCACCGAGGCGACGAUCCCGAGCUGGUCUGAGAGGAUGACCAGCAACACUGGAACGGAGACACGGUCCAUACUGCUACGGGAGGCAGAAGUGGGGAAGAUUGCACAAUGGGCGCAAGUGUGAUGCAGCCAGGCGGCGUGGAUGAAGAGGGCUUUCGGGUGGUAAAGUACUUUCAGUGGGGAGGCGUUACCUGCAGAAGAAGCACCGGCUAACUCCGUGCCAGCAGCCGCGGUAAUUC